CGGAAGAUGUAACGGGGCUAAACCAUGCACCGAAGCUGCGGCAGCGAACGUAUCACCCAAGACAACUUUACGGAGUUGACGAUUGACGGAGCGAAGCGACGUCAAAGCGUUCAUUAAAGUCGAGUUGGCUUAGGGAUACGUUCGUUGGGUAGGGGAGCGUUCUGUAAGCCUGUGAAGGUGUGUCGUGAGGCAUGCUGGAGGUAUCAGAAGUGCGAAUGCUGACAUAAGUAACGAUAAAGCGGGUGAAAAGCCCGCUCGCCGGAAGACCAAGGGUUCCUGUCCAACGUUAAUCGGGGCAGGGUGAGUCGACCCCUAAGGCGAGGCCGAAAGGCGUAGUCGAUGGGAAACGGGUUAAUAUUCCCGUACUUGGUGUUACUGCGAAGGGGGGACGGAGAAGGCUAUGUUGGCCGGGCGACGGUUGUCCCGGUUUAAGCGUGUAGGUGUGUGUUCCAGGUAAAUCCGGUUCACUUUAACACUGAGGCGUGACGACGAGGCACUACGGUGCUGAAGCAACAAAUGCCCUGCUUCCAGGAAAAGCCUCUAAGCAUCAGGUAACACGAAAUCGUACCCCAAACCGACACAGGUGGUCAGGUAGAGAAUACCAAGGCGCUUGAGAGAACUCGGGUGAAGGAACUAGGCAAAAUGGUGCCGUAACUUCGGGAGAAGGCACGCUGACACGUAGGUGAAGUGAUUUACUCAUGGAGCUGAAGUCAGUCGAAGAUACCAGCUGGCUGCAACUGUUUAUUAAAAACACAGCACUGUGCAAACACGAAAGUGGACGUAUACGGUGUGACGCCUGCCCGGUGCCGGAAGGUUAAUUGAUGGGGUCAGCGCAAGCGAAGCUCCUGAUCGAAGCCCCGGUAAACGGCGGCCGUAACUAUAACGGUCCUAAGGUAGCGAAAUUCCUUGUCGGGUAAGUUCCGACCUGCACGAAUGGCGUAAUGAUGGCCAGGCUGUCUCCACCCGAGACUCAGUGAAAUUGAACUCGCUGUGAAGAUGCAGUGUACCCGCGGCAAGACGGAAAGACCCCGUGAACCUUUACUAUAGCUUGACACUGAACAUUGAGCCUUGAUGUGUAGGAUAGGUGGGAGGCUUUGAAGUGUGGACGCCAGUCUGCAUGGAGCCGACCUUGAAAUACCACCCUUUAAUGUUUGAUGUUCUAACGUGGACCCGUAAUCCGGGUUGCGGACAGUGUCUGGUGGGUAGUUUGACUGGGGCGGUCUCCUCCUAAAGAGUAACGGAGGAGCACGAAGGUUGGCUAAUCCUGGUCGGACAUCAGGAGGUUAGUGCAAUGGCAUAAGCCAGCUUGACUGCGAGCGUGACGGCGCGAGCAGGUGCGAAAGCAGGUCAUAGUGAUCCGGUGGUUCUGAAUGGAAGGGCCAUCGCUCAACGGAUAAAAGGUACUCCGGGGAUAACAGGCUGAUACCGCCCAAGAGUUCAUAUCGACGGCGGUGUUUGGCACCUCGAUGUCGGCUCAUCACAUCCUGGGGCUGAAGUAGGUCCCAAGGGUAUGGCUGUUCGCCAUUUAAAGUGGUACGCGAGCUGGGUUUAGAACGUCGUGAGACAGUUCGGUCCCUAUCUGCCGUGGGCGCUGGAGAACUGAGGGGGGCUGCUCCUAGUACGAGAGGACCGGAGUGGACGCAUCACUGGUGUUCGGGUUGUCAUGCCAAUGGCACUGCCCGGUAGCUAAAUGCGGAAGAGAUAAGUGCUGAAAGCAUCUAAGCACGAAACUUGCCCCGA
rnacentral:rRNA from 1 species